UUGAAUGGGCAGUGUCACAAUGGACCACUGGUUCCAUGAGCCCUCGCUGUGUCACAAGGGUCUCCUUGGCUGCAUGAGGAACCGAAAACCAUUGCAUAAACAUUGAGCAACACCUGCUUAACACACCUGGGAACAUCUGUUUGCAUUCAAAAGAGGGGUUAAAGGUAAAGAGGAUAAGCAGAAGAAGAAACACGGAAUGACCGAAAGACAGAAGAUCUACUGAAAGACACAUAUUCAGCUACCAACUGCUUGGGUUCCAGUGUGGGUGCCUGUGGCCAAAACUGAUAUUCCACCUCCAAAAUUCCCUAUAUCCAAGGAUUUCUCCCAGAUGAAAGGUGCCAGGAAAGAC